rnacentral:rRNA from 1 species
UACGGGGGGGGCAAGCGUUGUUCGGAAUUACUGGGCGUAAAGGGCUCGUAGGCGGCCAACUAAGUCAGACGUGAAAUCCCCCGGCUUAACCAGGGAACUGCGUCUGAUACUGGAUGGCUUGAAUUCGGGAGAGGGAUGCAGAAUUCCAGGUGUAGCGGUGAAAUGCGUAGAUAUCUGGAGGAAUACCGGUGGCGAAGGCGGCAUCCUGGACCGACAUUGACGCUGAGGAGCGAAAGCUAGGGGAGCAAACGGG